AGAAGAUGUAUUUGGUAUUAUCAUCAAUGUGAGAGUGCAUCACAGUGUGGUGUCCACAAUUCUUGUUGUAAAUGAGGAACAUUUGGCCCACCCUGGUAGUGGACCAUAGUUUUUUGUUGCUGAGGCAGAAACUUGAAUUGGAUGAGUAUGAUAUGACUCUGUUGCUUUCUCUCUAGUUUUUUCUGUAAUCACUUUCAAGUUUCUGUUUAUUCACUUUUCUUUCUUGAAAUACAUUGAAGAAGUUAAAGCCAUAGGCCGUGACAUUAUUCUAUAGCCGAGAGCAUGUGCAGUAUCAGAUUUACUUUUUCUUUCUGGUGAUUCCGAAAGAUGGUUAGUUGCAGUGUUUACACACCUCACACUUGUCUGCUGAAUUUUCAUUCCACUAUUGGCGAAUCCAAUCAAUUUGACAACUCAAUAAUUUAGCAGAAAGAUCAAAAGAUGUUCAUCAUAUGAAAUAUCAUGGACAUUAUUCAAAUUCAUAUUGAUAUUAUGAGAGACUUGGAUCCCAGAAUGGGGCCAAGUAUAGGGGAAAAGUAUCUCAGAAUUAUUUAUAGCAGCAAUGAAAUACACAGCAUCUUGGAAAUGCCAUUUUGCUGAAGGGGUGUGUGUUUUCAAUUUCCACCACUUUUAUGGACCCAUAAUUAUAAGGUCUGGUGCAGCAACUACCCACAUGUCACUUGACACUUCUAAU
rnacentral:sRNA from 1 species